AGUGAACGCUGGCGGUAGGCCUAACACAUGCAAGUCGAACGGCAGCACAGUAAGAGCUUGCUCUUACGGGUGGCGAGUGGCGGACGGGUGAGGAAUACAUCGGAAUCUACUUUUUCGUGGGGGAUAACGUAGGGAAACUUACGCUAAUACCGCAUACGACCUACGGGUGAAAGCAGGGGAUCUUCGGACCUUGCGCGAUUGAAUGAGCCGAUGUCGGAUUAGCUAGUUGGCGGGGUAAAGGCCCACCAAGGCGACGAUCCGUAGCUGGUCUGAGAGGAUGAUCCGCCACACUGGAACUUAGACACGGUCCAGACUCCUACGGGAGGCAGCAGGGGGGAAUAUUGGGAAAUGGGCGCAAGCCCGAUCCAGCAAUGCCGCGUGGGUGAAGAAGGGCUUCGGGUUGUAAAGGCCUUUUGUUGGGAAAGAAAAGGAGCCGGUUUAUACCCCGCUGUUCUGACGGUACCCAAAGAAUAAGCACCGGCUAACUUCGUG
rnacentral:rRNA from 1 species